rnacentral:rRNA from 1 species
GGAGGAAAAGAAACCAACCGGGAUUGCCUUAGUAACGGCGAGUGAAGCGGCAAAAGCUCAAAUUUGAAAUCUGGUACCUUCGGUGCCCGAGUUGUAAUUUGGAGAGGGCAACUUUGGGGCCGUUCCUUGUCUAUGUUCCUUGGAACAGGACGUCAUAGAGGGUGAGAAUCCCGUGUGGCGAGGAGUGCGGUUCUUUGUAAAGUGCCUUCGAAGAGUCGAGUUGUUUGGGAAUGCAGCUCUAAGUGGGUGGUAAAUUCCAUCUAAAGCUAAAUAUUGGCGAGAGACCGAUAGCGAACAAGUACAGUGAUGGAAAGAUGAAAAGAACUUUGAAAAGAGAGUGAAAAAGUACGUGAAAUUGUUGAAAGGGAAGGGCAUUUGAUCAGACAUGGUGUUUUGUGCCCUCUGCUCCUUGUGGGUAGGGGAAUCUCGCAUUUCACUGGGCCAGCAUCAGUUUUGGUGGCAGGAUAAAUCCAUAGGAAUGUAGCUUGCCUCGGUAAGUAUUAUAGCCUGUGGGAAUACUGCCAGCUGGGACUGAGGACUGCGACGUAAGUCAAGGAUGCUGGCAUAAUGGUUAUAUGCCGCCCGUU